GGUUAAGCGACUAAGCGUACAC
rnacentral:ncRNA from 2 species